GGGCGCGUAGCUCAGCUGGUUAGAGCGUACGCCUCACACGCGUAAGGUCAGAGGUUCGAAUCCUCUCGCGCCCACCA
rnacentral:tRNA from 1 species